UACGUAGGGGGCGAGCGUUGUUCGGAAUUAUUGGGCGUAAAGCGCGUGUAGGCGGUUCGGUAAGUCGGAUGUGAAACCCCUGGGCUCAACCCAGGGCCUGCAUCCGCGACUGCCGGGCUAGAGUGUGGGAGGGGAGAGCGGAAUUCCUGGUGUAGCGGUGAAAUGCGUAGAUAUCAGGAGGAACACCGGUGGCGAAGGCGGCUCUCUGGACCAUAACUGACGCUGAGACCCAAAAGCGUGGGGAUCAAACAGG
rnacentral:rRNA from 1 species